rnacentral:rRNA from 1 species
UACGUAGGGUGCAAGCGUUAAUCGGAAUUACUGGGCGUAAAGCGUGCGCAGGCGGUUGUGUAAGUCAGAUGUGAAAUCCCCGGGCUCAACCUGGGAAUUGCAUUUGAGACUGCACGGCUAGAGUGUGUCAGAGGGGGGUAGAAUUCCACGUGUAGCAGUGAAAUGCGUAGAGAUGUGGAGGAACACCGAUGGCGAAGGCAGCCCCCUGGGUCAAGAUUGACGCUCAUGCACGAAAGCGUGGGGAGCAAACAGG